rnacentral:misc_RNA from 1 species
UUAACACUAAAGAGUUCUCGCUUCUAUAAUCUCUGUUAACAAACUUUACAUAACUGAACGGCGUCGAAAACCCACACCCACACCCACACCCACAUAGAGAUAGAGGAACGUGAUCAAUGAACAGUAGUGAAAAGUUCAAAAACCAAGCUUCAAGAAGGGAAACAAAAAUAUUCACAAUUUUUGUACCAAAAAAGAUAAUUCGCAACUUUAGUGUUAAACUCAGAUUAAUAUGGUAAUAUUCCAUAACCAUACCCACCAAAACCAUAAUCUACUUUGAUUUUUAGAUGGCUUUGGGACUUCUGCCUCUUUUCCCGUUACUGUUAUUUUCACCGGCCCAAAGAGAGAGCAGCCUUUACGUCUAAUCUCCAUGCAAAACCACCACCCUCCAUUCUCCACACGUCACA